rnacentral:rRNA from 1 species
AUUGAACGCUGGCGGCAUGCCUUACACAUGCAAGUCGAACGGCAGCACGGGUGCUUGCACCUGGUGGCGAGUGGCGAACGGGUGAGUAAUACAUCGGAACAUGUCCUGUAGUGGGGGAUAGCCCGGCGAAAGCCGGAUUAAUACCGCAUACGAUCUACGGAUGAAAGCGGGGGACCUUCGGGCCUCGCGCUAUAGGGUUGGCCGAUGGCUGAUUAGCUAGUUGGUGGGGUAAAGGCCUACCAAGGCGACGAUCAGUAGCUGGUCUGAGAGGACGACCAGCCACACUGGGACUGGGACACGGCCCAGACUCCUACGGGAGGCAGCAGUGGGGAAUGUUGGACAAUGGGCGAAAGCCUGAUCCAGCAAGGCCGCGUGUGUGAAGAAGGCCUUCGGGUUGUAAAGCACUUUUGUCCGGAAAGAAAUCCUUGGCCCUAAUACGGUCGGGGGAUGACGGUACCGGAAGAAUAAGCACCGGCUAACUACGUG